AAUCCCCAGCCUCCAAGAAAUGGUUGUAAGACAUCCAUGGCAAUGCUCAGCUCCACUCCCAUAAGCAAAGCCUUAAUUUCUCCAUUUGUCUGCCAGUGCCACAGCAUGUAGGUGAAUAAAUAAAAACAUUUGGGAUGCUUCUCUUUUGGUCCAAACCAAAGUGAUCAUCAGAGCUGGACAACCAGAGGCUCAAAUCAAGCUACUGCCUCAUUAAUUGCAGGAGAAGCUCUUACAGGAUUAGGUGGCCUCACCACUAAUUCCAAGUAAUUUUCCUCCCUCUUGGAAAGAGGACCUCCUAGUGCACCCCUAGUUUCCUCCCUUUCCGUGGACAUACCAAGCAGGGACAACGUUUGUAGGGGAAAUGGAAAACCAAGCAUCAUUGGCUUCUCCACCACGCAGCCAUGGGAGGCAAGCACAGACUGAGCAAAGGCUGCUCUCGCGAGCGCUCCCGUCGAACCCAGCGCCUUCCCUGCGGUGUGAGCGCUCGGCAGAGAGCAAUUCCAGGCCCAACAAGAUGUUACAUGCAAUGAGGACGAGGUGUUUGAUGAAUCACUUUCAGAAAAGGGGAUUUUUUGUUAAUAAUAGCAAGAAUUAACAUCCCACUGCAACACCUACAAGACAAACAAAUGGAGCAAAGUAUCCGUGAGUUCGGCACGCUACCUGCCUCCUGUGAAAUGCUACCUGGGAGGUGAGAACCCCUCUCAUUUAGAGCCUUGCUAAGUUUCUGGCUGUAAUUAAUUAGCAGGUGUCUUUAAGUAACAUCAUCUCCCAAAGUUAAUAUGGCUGAUGUUUUAUUUACGGUCCGUCCCGAAGAGUUGUGGUUAAAGUCAACAAAAGGCAAACAUGGAAAUGUGAAUGUUUUGCUCAUUUACAAUAAAAUAUGUCCCCAUCACUGGUGCA
ensembl:lncRNA